GUAUGGAUUUGUAUUUGUGGCAGCCCCAUCCCCCAGGCUGUCAGUGUCCUGUGCUGGAACAAACCAUGGCCCAGGACCAUUACCUCUGCCCGUAGGCCAUUGGCACUGAAGCAGGGCACGCAGUG
rnacentral:snoRNA from 1 species